rnacentral:rRNA from 1 species
GAUGAACGCUGGCGGCGUGCCUAAUACAUGCAAGUCGAGCGAACAGACGAGGAGCUUGCUCCUUUGACGUUAGCGGCGGACGGGUGAGUAACACGUAGGUAACCUACCUAUAAGACUGGGAUAACUUCGGGAAACCGGAGCUAAUACCGGAUAAUAUUUCGAACCGCAUGGUUCGAUAGUGAAAGAUGGCUUUGCUAUCACUUAUAGAUGGACCUGCGCCGUAUUAGCUAGUUGGUAAGGUAACGGCUUACCAAGGCAACGAUACGUAGCCGACCUGAGAGGGUGAUCGGCCACACUGGAACUGAGACACGGUCCAGACUCCUACGGGAGGCAGCAGUAGGGAAUCUUCCGCAAUGGGCGAAAGCCUGACGGAGCAACGCCGCGUGAGUGAUGAAGGUCUUCGGAUCGUAAAACUCUGUUAUUAGGGAAGAACAGACGUGUAAGUAACUGUGCACGUCUUGACGGUACCUAAUCAGAAAGCCACGGCUAACUACGUG